rnacentral:tRNA from 1 species
GCCCGGUUAGCUCAGUCGGUAGAGCAUCAGGCUUUUAACCUGAGGGUCAGGGGUUCAAGUCCCCUAUCGGGCG